AGCCCCCUGAAGAUCCUGACGAUCUGGGAUGUGCUGGCUACACCCUGCUCCCCGUCAACCAGGAGCGUUACUGAAGUUACAGUAAAACAAUGUCAGGAGACUGACACAAAAGCAAAUCCUUUCAAAGACUGAUUUUGAAUCCUGAUUGAAGAGAUCAAAAGAAAAUAUAAGAAGUUAGAACUCAUUUCUGGGGCACCACCUCGAUGAAAAAGCUGAGAAGUUCCUGCUACCCAGAGCCCUGCAGUUGCCACAGCUCAAUCUCUUCUCAACCUGGUGCCCAGCUUUUCCUGUUGAUUCUGCAACUAGGCCAGUCAUCUUUUCAAAAAUUCCUUUUCUGCUUGUUGACUAUCUCUGCUAUUUGCAACCAGAAGUAUUUAGAUAAAAUAUUUUUAAAAUGUAUAUGUCACCUUUUUCCUAAUUAUGAUGCAAACUUAUCACAGAAAACUCGUAAUUCUAUACAUUAGAUACAACUAAUGUUAACAUCUUAGUGUUUCCUUCUACUCUUCUAUUCUAAAUAUAUAUACAUAUAUACUUCUUUAAAAAUAGUUGAGUAAUUAGAAGUAGAGUGACUAUAUUUAUAUCAGACAAAAGAAGCCUUAAGAUAAAAAAAAUUACUAGAGACAAAGAGGGACAUUUCAUAAUGAUAAAAGGUUCACAAUUCAAACAUGUAAUUUAAAAAUUCCAUUUGUAAUACCAUCAAAAGGGAUACAAUACUGAAGAAUAAAUGUAGGGCCAGGCGCAGUGGCUCACAGCUGUAAUCCCAGCACUCUGGGAGGCCUAGGCAGGUGGAUCACCUGAGGCCAG
rnacentral:antisense_RNA from 1 species